rnacentral:sRNA from 1 species
AAUAAAUCGGGGGCAUGGGCACCUUGCGGCAUUGAGAGCCGUGCCCAUUCUUUUUCAUUUCGGCGAGGGGACCCGACGGAUCGUUCGUUACUCGGUGAGUGGCGAGCGAUCUGUGGUUCCAGU